AAUAUUGGUCAAUGGAGGCAACUCUGAACCAGUCACGUCGCGUUAAGGAUGACGGCCCUACGGGUUGUAAACUUCUUUUAGACAGGAAUAAAGUUAGUCACGUGUGACUUUUUGCAUGUACUGUAUGAAUUAGGAUCGGCUAGCUACGUGCCAGCAGCCGCGGUAAUACGGAGGAUCCAAGCGUUAUCCGGAUUUAUUGGGUUUAAAGGGUGCGCAGGCGGAAGAUUAAGUCGGCGGUGAAAUUUUGAAGCUAAACUGUAAAAGUGCCAUCGAUACUGGUUUUCUUGAGUGUGGAUGAAGUAGGCGGAAUUUGUGGUGUAGCGGUGAAAUGCAUAGAUAUCACGAGGAACUCCGAUUGCGCAGGCAGCUUACUAGGCCAUAACUGACGCUCAGGCACGAAGGCGUGGGGAUCAAACA
rnacentral:rRNA from 1 species